rnacentral:rRNA from 1 species
GAUGAACGCUGGCGGCGUGCUUAACACAUGCAAGUCGAGCGAAGCAGUUAAGUUGAUUUCUUCGGAUUGAUUCUUGACUGACUGAGCGGCGGACGGGUGAGUAACGCGUGGGUGACCUGCCCCAUACCGGGGGAUAACAGCUGGAAACGGCUGCUAAUACCGCAUAAGCGCACAGAGCUGCAUGGCUCGGUGUGAAAAACUCCGGUGGUAUGGGAUGGGCCCGCGUCUGAUUAGGCAGUUGGCGGGGUAACGGCCCACCAAACCGACGAUCAGUAGCCGGCCUGAGAGGGCGACCGGCCACAUUGGGACUGAGACACGGCCCAAACUCCUACGGGAGGCAGCAGUGGGGAAGUAUUGCACAAUGGGGGAAACCCGUACGAUGCAGCGACGCCGCGUGAGCGAAGAAGUAAUUUCGGUUAGUGUAAAGACUCUAUCAGCAGGGAAGGAA